UUGUGACCUGUUGCGCCAGUCACAGCUGUGCACCGCCUCCCAUAGCACUGCUUCCCGUGGCACUGCCUCCCACACAGACCCUAUCUACAAGCACUGCAGCCUGUUUCCCAGCCUCAGGAUGGAUGUCCAGGAAACCUCCAAGUUGCUGGAUGAAGAGCUGUACUCUCGGCAGCUGUAUGUGUUGGGUUUGCCAGCCAUGGAGAGGAUUCAGGGAGCCAAGGUGCUGCUGUCAGGCCUUCAGGGCCUGGGGGCUGAGAUAGCCAAAAACUUGGUCCUGAUGGGAAUAGGCAGCCUCACUCUUCAUGAUCCCCACCCUACCUGCUGGUCUGACCUGGCUGCCCAGUUUUUCCUCUCAGAGCAGGACUUAGGAAGGAGCAGGGCUGAGGCAUCUCAAGAACUUCUGGCUAAGCUCAAUGGAGCUGUUCAGGUGUGCAUCCACAAGGGUGACAUCACCGAGGAUCUGCUGCUGCACUUCCAGGUGGUAGUGCUGACUGCCCUGAAGCUGGAGGAGCAGCUGAAGGUGGGCAGCUUCUGCCACAAGCAUGGAAUCUGCUUUCUGGUAGCUGAUACCCGAGGCCUCGUUGGGCAGCUGUUCUGCGACUUUGGUGAGAACUUCACUGUGCAGGAGCCAACAGAGGCAGAACCCCUGACAGCUGCCAUCCAGCAUAUUUCUCAGGGCUCCCCUGGCAUUCUCACUCUGAGAGAACAGGCUGAUGCCCAUCACUUCCACAACGGGGAUUUGGUGACUUUCUCUGGCAUUGAAGGCAUGGUGGAGCUCAACAACUGUGCUCCUUGGCCUCUCCGCGUGCGGGAGGACGGGACCUUGGAGAUUGAGGACACAUCCACCUUCUCUCGUUACUUGCGUGGUGGAGUUAUCACUGAGGUUAAGAAAUCCAAGACUGUGAGCCAUGAGCCCCUGGACGUAGCCCUGCUCCAGCCCCGUGUGGUGGCCCAGAGUUCCCAGGAAGUUCACCGGGCCCACUGCCUGCAUCAGGCCUUCCGUGCACUGCACAAGUUCCAGGAACUCAGCGGCCGCCGUCCUCAGCCCUGGGAUCCUGUUGAUACAGAGAUGGUGGUGGACCUGGCCCGGGCCCUGGAACCACUGAAGGGGACAGAAGGAGAGCCAUUGGAAGAGCAGCUGGAUGAGGCUCUAGUGCGGACAGUCGCCCUGAGCAGUGCUGGUAGCUUGAGUCCCAUGGCAGCCAUGCUGGGUGCAGUGGCUGCCCAGGAAGUGCUGAAGGCAAUCUCCAGGAAGUUUAUGCCUCUGGACCAGUGGCUGUACUUUGAUGCCCUUGAUUGCCUUCCAGAAGAUGGGGAAUCUUUCCCCAAUCCUGAGGACUAUGCACCGAGAGGCUGCCGCUAUGAUGGGCAAAUCGCAGUGUUUGGGGCUCAUUUUCAGGAGAGGCUGAGCCACCAGCACUACCUCCUGGUGGGCGCUGGUGCCAUUGGCUGUGAGCUGCUCAAAGGCUUUGCCCUAGUGGGCCUGGGGGCCGGAGGCAGUGGGGGCGUGACUGUUGCUGACAUGGACCAUGUGGAGCGCUCCAACCUCAGCCGGCAGUUCCUCUUCAGGCCUCAGGACAUUGGUAGGCUGAAGGCAGAAGUGGCUGCAGAGGCUGCUCACCGCCUAAACUCAGACUUGCUCGUGACCCCGCUCCCCUACCAGCUGGAUCCUACUACAGAGCACAUAUAUGGGGACAACUUCUUCUCCAGUGUGGAUGGUGUGGCUGCCGCCCUGGACAGUUUCCAGGCCCGGCGCUAUGUGGCUGCUCGCUGCACCCACUAUCUGAAGCCACUACUGGAGGCGGGCACAAAGGGCACCUGGGGCAGUGCUUGUGUGUUCGUGCCACACUUGACUGAGGGCUAUAGAGCCCCUGCCUCGGCAGCAGCUUCCGAAGAUACCUCUUACCCCAUCUGUACUGUACGGCACUUCCCCAGCACAGCUGAGCACACCUUGCAGUGGGCCCGGGAUGAGUUUGAGGGACUUUUCCGUCUGUUUGCUGAGACCAUCAACCGUCACCAACAGGCACUCACUCCUCCAGCAGACUUGGAUGGGCCACAAAUGCUGAACCUGCUGCAAGUGGUGCUGGGUGUUCUGAGAGAGCGUCCACAGACCUGGCGAGACUGCGUGGUGUGGGCCCUUGGCCACUGGCAACUACGCUUCCAUUAUGGCAUCGAACAGUUACUGAGGCACUUCCCACCUGAUAAAGUGUUGGAGGAUGGAACUCCUUUCUGGUCGGGUCCCAAACAAUGUCCCCAGCCCUUGGAGUUUGAUGCCAGCCAAGACAUGCACCUCCUCUUCGUGCUGGCUGCUGCCAACCUGUAUGCCCAGAUGCAUGGGCUGCCUGGCUCACAGGACCAGACUGCACUCAAAGACCUGCUGCAGUUGCUACCACUGCCUGAUCCCCAGUACUUGGCUCCCAUUUUUGCCAGUGACUUGGAGCUGACUUUGGCUUCUGCUGAGUUUGGCCCUGAGCGGUUGAAGAAACUACAUGAAGCCCUGGAAACCUGGCGCAUGGGUGCUCCCCUGAAACCCCUGAUGUUUGAGAAGGACGAUGACAGCAACUUCCAUGUGGAUUUUGUGGUCGCAGCAGCUAGCCUGCGAGCUCAGAACUAUGGGAUCCCACCAGCCAACCGUGCCAAGAGCAAACAAAUUGUGGGCCGGAUUAUCCCAGCCAUUGCCACCACUACAGCAGCUGUGGCUGGCCUGGUGUGCCUGGAGCUGUAUAAGGUGGUGGGAGGGCCUCGGCCCCUCACUGCCUUUCGCCACAGCUAUCUGCACCUGGCUGAAAACUACUUUAGCCGCUGGGUACCUAGUGCCCCAGCCAUCCAGAAGUUCCAUGACCUGAAGUGGACCUGUUGGGACCGCCUGGAAGUGCCUGCUGGGCAGCCCAUGAGGACCUUGGAGUCAUUGUUGGCCCAUCUCCAGGAACUACAUGAGCUGAGGGUGAGGAUGCUGCUGCACGGGCCAGCCCUGCUCUACUCGGCAGGAUGGUCGCCUGAAAAGCGGGCCCAUCAUCUCUCCCUCAGGGUGACAGAUCUGGUGCAGCAGGUAACAGGACGAGCACCUGAGCCUGGGCAGCGGGUGCUUGUACUGGAGCUCAGCUUUGAGGGUGAAGAGGAGGACACUGCCUUCCCACCCUUGCACUAUGAGCUGUGAAAAGGCAGCAGCCCCACUAUCCAGCUCUGUCAAGCCCUGCGUCCCAAGCCCACACCGGACUGCAGCCGAGCACCCCACAAGCGUCUUAGCGAGCCACACCCGCUCCCAAGCCUCACCAGUUCCCAGCGGAGCUGGCCAAGAAAGCUGUCAAGCCGAG